rnacentral:misc_RNA from 1 species
GACUCUUCAAGCCCUAGGCUUGGUAUUAGGCCGUGCCGGUACCGGCAGGUCGCAACUCCAGUGGCGGCGCCGCGGGGUUCCGAGCGAAGUAACACCUCUCUGCUACGGAUCUCUACGGUCGACGACCCAGAAUCCAACUCUUCG